CAGCAAUGGGACAGUUGUAAUCCAGCUACUGUGAGGAUGAAGAGAGGUGCUGCUUAAUGCAUUCAGGUAGCGAGGUAAUAGAUCUGAUAUAUAUAGGACCUAUAGUAUUAACCUGUGUUAGGUCGAGAAAACAAUUUCCAGUGGUUUUGCAUUCAGAAUUGAUAUAGCAGAUAUGUAUCUCACUUUGUACUCAGGUAAUCCAUAUUGCCAUGUCAGGAAGCAAGGACCAGGAGUGGAAGUGAGGGCUCCAAAACUUAUGGCUGGGUGGCCAUAUGAGAUCCAGGUUAUGGGAGCUGUUUGGCAAAAGCCGGAACCUAUAGCUUGUGAAAAUGACCCUCAAUACUCAAGCGAGAAUGGACAACAAAUCAAAAUGCAUUUUAGUCAGGAUCCUGGGAACCUAUAGUGUCAAAAGUUUCUUCCACUAGUAAAGAUGAAUUAUCAAGAAAUACCAGAAGGUCUAGUUAAGUUUAUUUUGUGACUGCACUGAAAACAAAUUCCUCAAAUAGCCCCAUCCUUACUGUGCUUUGACCUGUAUAUUCUGUACAGUUCAGAAGAGUGAAGAAAGAAACAGUGGCAGGGAGAAUGUGUUUUAAAAAUACACGUUGAACCUGUUCCCCAACGCCAAGCUUAAGGUGAGAAAAGCACCGCAAAAGCGUAGGAGAAGGGCCCAGACUGACUUCUAAGGAAGGCAGGAAAGCAUCCUUUGUCCAAAAG
rnacentral:lncRNA from 1 species